GAUUAAGGAAGUCAGCCUAAAUGCGCCGCAUCGUGCGGCAACGGCUGACUGACUCACAUCCUGUGAG
rnacentral:sRNA from 1 species